AAUAACGCUGCAUUACUUUGCGCUACUAAAUACAUCAUAUGUAUCAUUUUACCUAUUUCACCUCUGAAUUUUAUAUCCGUGUGGUUGCAAUUUCAUAAAGUAUGCUAUAGUAUUGAUUCUUUCUAUUCUCAAAAAAUACAUAUUGGUGCUUCUGAAUAUGGCCAAAAUUCGUCGUUUGGAUUUUUGAAAGUUUUGUAGUGCAAAACGCUUUCUUAUGUGUUGCGUUGCAGAACGUUAUCAUGCACAUAUGAAAAACCAGAGUCUACUUGAAGCAAAUCGCGCGCCACUACGAUUUUGGCAGACUUCUCAAUGAGCAAUAUUUAUGUCCCAGCCUGGAUGUCUACAACAACAUUCAUCAACAUGUUGUACGAAACAACAUGCAUCAGCUGAGCAGAAGUUUCGAUUUGCCACCUUUCUGAAUCGAGAAAAGGUUACUUAUAACCUAACACUAUAUAACCUUACCUUACUAAAGGUUAAAUGUUGGUUCAGGAAUAAUAAGUCAAAGUUAAUUUUAUUAAAAUAACAACGCAAAAGUUUCGUUCUGGAAAAUAAAUAUGUUUAAUAACGUUAUUCUAUCAUCCAUACAAAAUUGUUACAUAUAAUUUUGCUGCUCCAACCAACGUUAUUUCACCUGUGAAUGUAAGAAGAGUAUUUUAGGGGUGGAUUAAUACUUACUCUUUUUCAUUUUUGGCACUUCGUGCUUAAAAUUAAAUGCAUUUGCAAGACAAUUUAAAAAAAAUAACAUACAAAAAUAAUAAACUGCAAACUCUUUUACCAUGAAA